rnacentral:rRNA from 4 species
GUGGGUAGUUUGACUGGGGCGGUCUCCUCCUAAAGAGUAACGGAGGAGCACGAAGGUUGGCUAAUCCUGGUCGGACAUCAGGAGGUUAGUGCAAUGGCAUAAGCCAGCUUGACUGCGAGCGUGACGGCGCGAGCAGGUGCGAAAGCAGGUCAUAGUGAUCCGGUGGUUCUGAAUGGAAGGGCCAUCGCUCAACGGAUAAAAGGUACUCCGGGGAUAACAGGCUGAUACCGCCCAAGAGUUCAUAUCGACGGCGGUGUUUGGCACCUCGAUGUCGGCUCAUCACAUCCUGGGGCUGAAGUAGGUCCCAAGGGUAUGGCUGUUCGCCAUUUAAAGUGGUACGCGAGCUGGGUUUAGAACGUCGUGAGACAGUUCGGUCCCUAUCUGCCGUGGGCGCUGGAGAACUGAGGGGGGCUGCUCCUAGUACGAGAGGACCGGAGUGGACGCAUCACUGGUGUUCGGGUUGUCAUGCCAAUGGCACUGCCCGGUAGCUAAAUGCGGAAGAGAUAAGUGCUGAAAGCAUCUAAGCACGAAACUUGCCCCGAGAUGAGUUCUCCCUGAGACUUAAAGUCUCCUGAAGGAACGUUGAAGACGACGACGUUGAUAGGCCGGGUGUGUAAGCGCAGCGAUGCGUUGAGCUAACCGGUACUAAUGAACCGUGAGGCUUAACCUU